rnacentral:rRNA from 1 species
CGAAAGGGGCAGUAAUGCAUGGGUAACUUGCCCUGGAGUUCGGGAUAGCCUUCCUAACGGAUGGGUAAUACCGAAUGCCAUACCGGAGGGGCAUCCCCCUGGUACGAAAGUUCCGACGCUCCGGGAGGGGUCCAUGUGGUAUUAGCUAGUUGGUGGGGUAACGGCCCACCAAGGCCAAGAUGCCUAGCAGGUGUGAGAGCACGACCUGCGUCACUGGCACUGGGACACUGGCCAG